rnacentral:rRNA from 1 species
GCUUACCUACGGGGCGCAGCAGUGGGGAAUAUUGCACAAUGGGGGAAACCCUGAUGCAGCGACGCCGCGUGAGUGAAGAAGUAUCUCGGUACGUAAAGCUCUAUCAGCAGGGAAGAAAAAAAGUCUUUGGCUUUGGACGGUACCUGACUAAGAAGCCCCGGCUAACUACGUGCCAGCAGCCGCGGUAAUACGUAGGGGGCAAGCGUUAUCCGGAUUUACUGGGUGUAAAGGGAGCGUAGACGGCAGAGCAAGUCUGAAGUGAAAGCCCGCGGCCCAACUGCGGGCCUGCUUUGGAAACUGCCCGG